CCCACCCCCUCGACACUGCUGCAGUGGGGAUGAAGUUUCCAGCACGUACCUUUGGAGGACUUAUUCAACCAUGACCCUUGCUUCUCAUUCAUGGAGGAAGAGGAGUGAAGAAUCCAAGUGGCAGACUUGGGAGCUCUAGCCCAUCCUUUUCCCGUCCUCUUAUUUUUGGGGGUCGGCCUGCCUGCUUAGCACUAAAUCACAUCACUAUGGGCACCACUGAGGGUGGUAUUUGAGUCACCAACACAACACUCCUGUAUCCAUCUGCAUUUGUCGAUGAGGCAUUCAUGGUGACUGAAAGUAUAUAGAAGAACAGUUGCUGGAGCAAAUUCUUGGCUUUACCAUGGCAACUUUCACAACGUUACAGCACCACAAAGAUGAAGUGGUUGGUGACAUACUCCAAAUGCUGCUCAAAUUUACAGAUUUUCUGGCUUUUAAAGAAAUGUUUCUGGACUGCAGAGCAGAAAAAGAAGGCCAGAGACUGGACUUAAGCCGUGGUUUAGUGGAGACUUCAUUGUGCAAAUCAUCUUCUAUGACAGCUUCUCAGAACAAUCUGCAGCAGUAGGACCUACCUCCAGACAAUGAAUGGUAUCAUUCUCAAUUUCACGGGCUCAGUAGUUCAAUAGGCUCGGCUCAUGAUGACAGGAGAACGUAUCCUGGAAAAACUGAUUCUGUUCUGCAACUCUUCAUUCGCAUUAAAUAUUGAUGGGGUAAAAGCCAAAAU
rnacentral:lncRNA from 1 species